rnacentral:lncRNA from 1 species
CUGAAAGCAUGAAGAAUAAAGAUAUACAGGCGUUUGAAACAUUACAAGGAGAAGUCUCCUUUGUCCCACGUUUGGUAUGCUCUCUUCCCCAUGGAAACUACACAAAACAUAUCAAACCCCAAGUCAAUUUUGAAAUGCAACUACAGAAAGGGUAACCCGGUACACAAGGCAUCCCACGUUCACGUAGGAUCCGGGGAAGGCCACGCCAAUGGGCAUUGAUGUAGCCAGCCUAACUUAAUGCAAGCAUUAGUGGUUGCUACCAGGUUCGAACCCAUGACCUAUAGGUCACAUAGAUACUUUAUCGUUGCUCUAAGGCUACCCUUAAAAAAUGCAACUACAGAAACACUCUAAAAACAAACAAAGGAAAAAGAAAUUACUAACCCCAUAAGCAAAUUGAGGAAGACUGUGCUGAAGAUGAUAUAUUCUUGAAAUCCAACACUAUGUUGAACAUAAAACACCAAAUUGAGUUAAACUAAGAUCAUUUCACUAAUUUGGAAUACAAAAUUGAAAUUAGCAGAGCUUUUAGUACCUGAAACUUGGAUUGUUCCUGGCAUUGGGGAGAAUAUUUGAUACUCAAACUAUGUUCCACAAAAAAAUAGUAUAUCCCCUCAGCCUCAACCUCAAGGGUACUACAUAAUUAAGUGACAUAAAAAG